CCUACGGGAGGCAGCAGUGGGGAAUAUUGCACAAUGGGGGAAACCCUGAUGCAGCGACGCCGCGUGAGUGAAGAAGUAUUUCGGUAUGUAAAGCUCUAUCAGCAGGGAAGAAAAUGACGGUACCUGACUAAGAAGCCCCGGCUAACUACGUGCCAGCAGCCGCGGUAAUACGUAGGGGGCAAGCGUUAUCCGGAUUUACUGGGUGUAAAGGGAGCGUAGACGGUGAUGCAAGUCAGAAGUGAAAGGGCGGGGCUCAACUCCGGGACUGCUUUUGAAACUGUGUGACUGGAGUGCAGGAGAGGUAAGCGGAAUUCCUGGUGUAGCGGUGAAAUGCGUAGAUAUCAGGAAGAACACCAGUGGCGAAGGCGGCUUACUAGACUGUAACUGACGUUGAGGCUCGAAAGCGUGGGGAGCAAACAGGAUUAGAUACCCGAGUAGUC
rnacentral:rRNA from 1 species